AGAGUUUGAUCAUGGCUCAGGACGAACGCUGGCGGCGUGCCUAACACAUGCAAGUCGAACGGAGAAUUUCAAUAAGCUUGCUUAGAGAAAUUCUUAGUGGCGGACGGGUGAGUAACGCGUGGGUAACCUACCCAUAAAGCCGGGACAACCCUUGGAAACGAGGGCUAAUACCGGAUAAUCUUGAGUUGUGGCAUCACGAUUCAAGGAAAGAUGGCCUCUGAAAAUGCUAUCGAUUAUGGAAGGACCCGCGUCUGAUUAGCUAGUUGGUGGGGUAAAGGCCUACCAAGGCGACGAUCAGUAGCCGGCCUGAGAGGGUGAACGGCCACACUGGGACUGAGACACGGCCCAGACUCCUACGGGAGGCAGCAGUGGGGAAUCUUCCGCAAUGGACGAAAGUCUGACGGAGCAACGCCGCGUGUAUGAUGAAGGUCUUCGGAUUGUAAAGUACUGUCUUUGGGGAAGAACGGUUUUCUUGAGAAGAUUGAGGAGACAUGACGGUACCCAAGGAGGAAGCCCCGGCUAACUACGUGCCAGCAGCCGCGGUAAUA
rnacentral:rRNA from 1 species